rnacentral:antisense_RNA from 1 species
ACAUUUCUGAAGCCCUGCCACCUGCCUAUCCCUUGUAGGGAUUCAAGUCCAAAUAGCCAGAGCCUCUGGCAGAGGACAUGGGGGAAACUGAGGUAGCCCUAGGGUCCUCCUCUCAAGUCAAGUUGCCUGGAGACUGCAGCAGCUACGGUUGAGGCUGCACAGGAAGCACAGACCGCCCCAGGCAGCAGCUGAAGCUGAAGACUCCAGGGCCAGGCCAUCGGGUCAGGCGUUCAGGAACGCGAAAGCUGACGGCUCUGAGCCAGGAGGCUCUUUGGCUGCUGUCCUCUGGGACGAUGUUCGGGGGGCACGGGGAGCAUCGGGACAGGACUCUCCUGCAGGAGCCCCAGCCCCCACCAGGCGGGGACAGGCCACCAGCUCCAUGCCAGCAAACAAGGAGUCGCGGCUCCACGCACAGCUGCUGGGGCCUCUCUUUGGGCUGUCCGUGCCCCCUGGGACCCGUUCAGGUCUCCACCCCCUGCUUUCUGCCAGUCUGGCCUCGGCCUCGCUGGGGUCUCCAGGGGCUGGAAUAGGGGAGGCAUCUGGGGGUGGGGUGGGCACAGGGCUGGACGGCAUCCCAGAUGAGGGAGCAGGGCUCCGGGGCGAGACUGUGGUUGAACUCAGAGGCUGGAGGAAGACCUGGCUCCCAGCAAGAGGCACAGCGUCGGUCAGCAGACAAAUGAACACCCUCCCCGUCAUAACCUGCCAGGCACUGCUGGAGGGAGUGAACACGUGGCCUGGCACAUCUGGGCAUUUCCAACUGUUGGAAGCAGGGUUCUUCCAGCAUGCCCGUUUUAGAAACCCCACUACGAGGUUCGCCUGUGGUGGUGCGAACCCCAGGCUCACUCGUCGCUCUGACUGAAAGGUGAGCUAGCAGAUGGCCAAUGACAGAUAAGGAUGACUUGGGGAUGGGUGACUGAGGACCUGUGUUUCCAGCAGCCAGGGAGAAAAUAGGAAGAAAGAAGCUGGGGGUGCCCAUAGGCAGAGGGAAGGUGCCAGGGCCUGGUGGCUGGGAGAGGCCUCCCACUGUGAUUCUAGUGGCCUCCAGGCAGUUCAGAGCAUUCAAGUGCACAGAGAUGAAUGGAACCAUUUCUGCCCUCCGGAGCUUGGGAGCUGAGCAUGAGUUGUGUCAUAGGUGGCAAACUGCAUGUGCAGUCAGGGAGGGCUUCCUGGAAGAGGUAAGUGUGAGCCAAGACACAAGGGCAGGAACAUUAAGGCAGAGGAGUUUGGGGGCUUCCAGGAACAGGUAGAGGCCAGUGUACUGUGAGUGCUGCAGAGUUGGGGUGGAAGGCAGGAAGGCAGUGGGGAGGUGAGGACCCUGACUUGCUGCUGCUCCCUCUGCCAGUGGGACAGGGACUCGAGAGGGGGGUCCAGGAAGGGCUGACCAAGCACCGGGCAGGGACAGGAUGGCCGUGGACUGCAGUGUAUCUCCUGCUGUACCCUUGGACCCCAGUGUGCGUGUGGCCUCCGCAGCUGCCCACCUUGGUGGCUUUGUUGGUCACAGGUCCCGGGCUGCCCAUGCUGAGCUCCUGCAGCCACGGUCGGGUGCGGAGGAGGAUGUGCUCUUGGGGAAGGAGGUCGGUGCUCCCCAGGGAGGCGAUGGCACACAGCGCCCUCUGCGGGUGAAGGGAGGGGACAUCAGCACCCAUAGGGGCAGCAGGUCCACGCCAGGGAGGCCUAUCUGGCCAUCUCUCUCCCUCUUCUUCCUCCUCAUCAAUGACCGGGGUGCCAGGAGGCCCCAGGGACAGCUCCACCAGAGCCCCGUCCAGAGCCCUGUCCUCAUCACCUUAUACCCUGGCUCCCAGACACCAGAGCCCUGUCCUCCCCGGCUCCUGGACAGACCCCAGCAAGAAGCACGUGACCUGCUGCCCCGACUGCCUUACCUUCAUUCCUCCGCAUGCCCCCCGACAUAUGCACACGCAUGUCCAUGCUUUCAUGUGCAUGCACACACAUACAGGCACAUACAUACACAACCACACACAUGCAGUCAUGUACACACACACACACUGUGUGCACACCACACACAUGCACAAGUGUGUACACACACAGACAUACACACCCAGGCAUACACACCCACACGCACACACACAGGCACACACACACACACAGGCAUGCACGCACACACAGCCACACAGAGGAAUGUUCACAUACAGGUGUGCACACACAGGCACACACACGCACACACAGGAAUGUCCGCACACAGGCACAUGCACACAGUCACACCCUCCUGCCCGCGUGUGCAGCUCACCAGCUGCGUGCAUUCACUGGUCCCACGCAGGUGGCAGGUCAGCAGCUGCAGCACGGCCUCACAGUUGAGCAGUCCACACCUGCACAGAGGGGACACCUAGGUGGCGGGUGCGGCCCGUCCCCACCUCCCUCGCCCAGGGUUGGGGCUGGGGCAGAGCCAGGCGGGUCCAGGCACACUCACGCUUUGAUGAAGUGCUGUGCCUCCUCGCGGCUCAGGAAGGCGCGUGGUCCCCGAGUCACAGUCCUCACCAAGCUCAACUCCUGCUGACAGUCACUCAGGGCCACCAGCUCGACCCUGCCAGGGGGAAUGGCCGGGUCAAGGGUGAGUGGAGGCCGUGCCCCCACUCCCGCCUCGUGUGGGGGAGAACCUGGAGAGCAGGAGCCGCGCUGGGAGGGGGACCGUGUGGUGGCUCCAAGACCUCUUCCGCAUAUCCGGCAGCUCCCGCUCACCUUUCUGCCAGGUCACCUGGCUCCCGGCUGGCCCCUGAAUGGCUGUCGCUGCCGGAAUGACUGCCUGAGUCCGAGACCCUGCUCAGGUCGCUGCUCUGGGAGGAAUUCUGAGAGCUGGGGCCGCUGUCCAGCUCAUCCCAGCCCCCUCCGGCCUGCCCAGGCUGAUGCCUCACAGCUGGAGGAAACAGGACAGCCGGUGAGAUCUCUGGGGCUUCAGGUCAGCCCCAUGCCCACCUCCCAGGGCCCUGGACCAGGAGGCCUCAGGGGCUGAGUCCUGAGCUGAGGAUGGGUGGCCACCUUGGCUCCAGCUUCAGCAAACACCAGCCCCCAUGGGCAUCUGCUUCCGCCUCGGGUCCCACCCCCUCCUGCUGUGUGGGAGGCCCUUGGAUCUGCCUCCAGGGCCGCAAAGCCCUGGCGCUGACAGGAAGGAGGGACCAGACCCCAAGGGGAGGAGCCCUCGCUUCGAUACCUCGGGGACCUGGAAUGGCCCCGGGGAGUAGGUUCCCCAGGGUUGGGGGACCGUGGUUGGCUGAAGGCAUCAUGGCAGGCUGGUAGGUGUCACCCCGCGGCAGGAGCCUCUGGGUACUGGGACUCUCGGGCCCGGGGCGCAUGGCGCUGGCCACCACCUCUGCGGCCUUCUGGAUGGUGGAGAGGAAGGCUUCGCCUGCCGAGCCUGCACCCGAGGAGAGGGAGAUGGGACGGCCGCCCAGUGCGGCCCCCACCCUCGUUCUCUGGGAGCAGGGUGCCCGCAUCGGCUCCCUGCUCAAGCUUGGGGAGGUCGGGGUACACGCUGCAGGUAGGGAGGCCUCCUGGUGGGCCCCAGGCCCUCUGGAAGCUCCCAGUGGACUCCGCUUUGGCAUUCCCACUCCCAGUGGGCCUGGACACCCCAGCUCACUGCAGUUAUGCCUCCGUCCCUCUGUCCUCUGGGGGUGAAGGUGUCCUAAGGGGCUUGGGUUUGGCCUUGGCUCAGGGAGGGUGUGUCCAGGGCUCGGGGAGGGGCCGGUCUUUCCCCUGUGAGCUCCCUGUAGAAGUUGUCCCGACAUCGAAGUGUCGGCAGGAGCCCCGGGCUGCGCGCAGGACGGUGUGACCCAGUCUAACGGUGAGCGGCUAGACACCACCCAGGGCCCGGCAGCAGGGCACAGCUGGGCCGGGGGCUGGGUCCCAGCAGCAGGCAGUGGUGCCACCUGUGGCUCUCCUGGCGCUGAUGAGCAGUUGUCCACUGGUACUGCCCCAUCUCAUAACAGCUCCACACAGGACUGCCUGAGUCACUCGCACCACAGCCAGGGGCCCAGCCCUCGGCCCCUCUCAGAGUGGGACUCACCCCUGCCACCGGGCCCAGUCCUGACUUCUUGCUCGGCCUGGUUUCUCUCGUCUGUCCAUAAAGCGGCCCUGGCCACACCUGCACCACCCCCACAUCGGCAGCCAGAGCGAGACAGCAGGGACAGCCCCAGGAAGGGCUGAGGCCAUGCAGGGGAGGGGACGGGGGACAGCAGCUACCAGAUGGGGUGGCAUGGUCCGGCCCCCACCACCUCCUCAUCCCCGCACCGAGAUGCCGGGGCCCAUGCAGGCCCUCCCCACUCACCCGUGCGGCCGUGUUCCUUGCUGUAGCCGAAACCCUGGAGGGUGCUGUGCGGCCUGGCCUGGGAGCCCAUGCCUGCAGAGGGUCCUCCGUCAGCGGCAAGCCGGCCCCCACCCUAGGCCCUGCCCACCGAUGGCACAGACGCCCAGGACCCUCAGGGAGGCAGAAACCACAAGGACGGGCACCCGCAGAGCGACACUGCUCCUGGGCUCACCUG